rnacentral:rRNA from 1 species
AUUGAACGCUGGCGGCAGGCCUAACACAUGCAAGUCGAACGGUAACAGGAAGAAGCUUGCUUCUUUGCUGACGAGUGGCGGACGGGUGAGUAAUGUCUGGGAAACUGCCUGAUGGAGGGGGAUAACUACUGGAAACGGUAGCUAAUACCGCAUAACGUCGCAAGACCAAAGAGGGGGACCUUCGGGCCUCUUGCCAUCGGAUGUGCCCAGAUGGGAUUAGCUAGUAGGUGGGGUAACGGCUCACCUAGGCGACGAUCCCUAGCUGGUCUGAGAGGAUGACCAGCCACACUGGAACUGAGACACGGUCCAGACUCCUACGGGAGGCAGCAGUGGGGAAUAGUGCACAAUGGGCGCAAGCCUGAUGCAGCCAUGCCGCGUGUAUGAAGAAGGCCUUCGGGUUGUAAAGUACUUUCAGCGGGGAGGAAGGGAGUAAAGUUAAUACCUUUGCUCAUUGACGUUACCCGCAGAAGAAGCACCGGCUAACUCCGUG